rnacentral:rRNA from 1 species
AGCGAACGCUGGCGGCAGGCUUAACACAUGCAAGUCGAACGGGCGUAGCAAUACGGUCAGUGGCAGACGGGUGAGUAACGCGUGGGAACGUACCUUUUGGUUCGGAACAACCCAGGGAAACUUGGGCUAAUACCGGAGUAAGCCCUUACCGGGGAAAGGAAUUUAUCGCCAAAAGAAUCGGCCCGCGUCUGAUUAGCUAGUUGGUGAGGUAACGGCUCACCAAGGCGACGAUCAGUAGCUGGUCUGA